UAUUAUCUGAUUAUAAAUAACUAUAUACUCUCAGAAAAUAGAUAGGUUGAAGGGUAGACUUUCUAAUUUCACCCUUGAAGUGUGUCCCAGUCAAAGUUCUUUGGGUAUCAGAAAAAGGGGCAAUAAAAAUAGAAUUUUUUUUUAAGAAUAAGAGACUCAAAGAGCAGGGACUGAAAACUGGGAUAUCAUCAGGGCACAAGGGUUCUUUUUGUUGUUGUUUCCACAUCAUUACCAGCACUUCUUAUUUCCUGUC